rnacentral:lncRNA from 10 species
AUAACCAGAAGCAGCAGAGAAAACAUCUGAAGUGCUUCCUGGACACACCUGUUAGGAAGUUUCUGCAAGAACCCAGGGAUUUCCUUCUUCCCAGACCUUGGGGCCUUCAUCUCCAGCCUCUCAGAAGGAAUAAAUUCUCAGAAAUACAGGAUCCACACACAUAGCCUGCCAGAAGCCUGUGCCACUGCGUAAGUGUGAGUGACUACGGAAGACAAGGUGGACUCCAAACCCGACGCUAUGAUCCACUCGAGCCUCGUCCAGGGAAUUUAUGGAGCACGUGGGACCUCCCUGCCAUCCAGAAGCACAGAGGAGGUGCGUCCCCACAACAAUGCCAGGAACACACAGCGGGGAAUUCUCUGACAUCGAGAGGCUUCCAGUGAGGGGCACUGGCUGCCCUGGAGGUGACAGAGACUCCACAUCAGCUACCUGCUGAGAUGGUGCUGGGAGCCUCGUGGAGCAGAGCAGCCGAUCCGAUCCAGGGUACCUGCUACAGGCCUGGCACCACCUGGGUCCGACCAACGUGCCCGCAGGAUGCAGAAAGGGCGCGUGAUGAGCACAGGAGAGUUUAGAGUGGCCCCGCGCCUGCUUCCCAAGCUCCAGAGACACUUUCUGCAGCAGCCGCACUCCUGACAAAUGGGAUUUUGGGGGAAUCAAGUGUGAUUUUGAUUCACUCGGGGAGCUCACCACUUAGAAGAACGCUGCGGUUUCAACCAGUCCUUCAGAAAUGCAGAGAGUGUGGGAAUUCCAAUGAAAAGGCCCUGAGGAGGGCGUGCGGUUACGGGGUCCCUUGAGCUUGAUAAAGGGCAGACAGAGACGUCUUAGUCUUCGUGGUGGAGUUGAGACCGAGGCAGUAUCUUCAAAGGUGUAUUAAGGUGCCUUUGUUGUCGGCUUUCAACGCCUCCUUUGAAGGACUCGCUCACUUCCCCGGCAGGUGAGUAAGCAGCUCACAGGGACCCCGUGAGCAAAGCCUGCAAGGGGCAGAGCCAGGCUGCAAACCCAGGCCCUGCACACGGCUCUCACGCUUCUGUCACACCACACCCAGAGCAUCAGUGCCUCUAAUCAACCAACAUUUCAGUUCCUACGGUUCAAAAUGGGCCUUACAGGACUUCAAAGCAUCGAUAAUUCAGACAUUUGCUUGGUAAAUCCUCUAUCAUGGAAUAUGAUGAAGGCAACUUCAGAUCAACAAACUGGUGUCUGAAUUAUCACACAUUCUGAAAUCAGAGACGUCCAGUGAAAAGAGAUUUGUCUAGUAAAAGUAAUUCCAGAUGUGUAACCCAAAGGACUCGUCUAGGAAGUUCCAGUGGGAAGGACUUUGCUGCUCUCCAGCACGAGUUAUUUUCUCCCAGGACUUUUUCAGCCUGCCAGCCGUACACUUCCCAGACAUUUCACCAAAUGAAGAGAGAAAGGAAAACAAACAAACGAAAAGCUUUCUUUAAGUAGCUUUGAACUUUGCACUAGACAGAUCCAAAUUCAUUGGCUUCUGCACUAAAGCUGUCUCCAAGACAUCCCUGUUAGGUUCGUAACUAAAUCGCCCACUAAUAUUUAUGCUCUGUCUUAAACAAAGGAAAUAGGAGCUGUUGUCAAGGACACGGUGGGGCAGGCAAGGCGAGCCGGUUUCUGGUGCAGACACAGCCCAGAGACAAGCUUCAAAAGGACAGCUCUGCCUGGGCCCUCAGAGACGCGCAGCUGCGUCAGCGUGGACUCUGGGUGGUGCCGGAUUGUGGAUAAUUUGAGGGAAUGCACAGCACAUUAAGGAGGCUGGGAAUGCCGAGGGUCUGGUGGGCCAGGGUCUCUGAGCCCGACGUCCUCUCAGCCACCGUUCAGCCUGACCCAGGACAGGCCUCCACCCUCCCAUGCGCUCGACUUCUCACUCAGCAGAGACACGCAGCUUCAGCCAGUGCAGCAGCACCACGCAGCUUCAGCCAGUGGGCAGCACGUGGGCAGCAGGACCACGUGCCCACCAGAUGCCUAGUGUGGUACGUCUUGGUCAUAAAUUAGAUCCUUAAACAAAAAUCUGUGCUAGGUGGCCCGGCAGGGACAGUAAAUGCA